rnacentral:rRNA from 1 species
UACAGAGGUGGCAAGCGUUGUUCGGAAUUACUGGGCGUAAAGCGCACGUAGGCGGAUACUUAAGUCAGGGGUGAAAUCCCGGGGCUCAACCCCGGAACUGCCUUUGAUACUGGGUAUCUCGAGUCCGGAAGAGGUGAGUGGAAUUCCGAGUGUAGAGGUGAAAUUCGUAGAUAUUCGGAGGAACACCAGUGGCGAAGGCGGCUCACUGGUCCGGUACUGACGCUGAGGUGCGAAAGCGUGGGGAGCAAACAGG